rnacentral:tRNA from 1 species
CAAAGUGUAGCUUAAAAAUAAAGCACCUGGCUUACACCCAGAAGAUUUCAUUAAAAUGACCACUUUGA